UACAGAGGUCUCAAGCGUUGUUCGGAAUCACUGGGCGUAAAGCGUGCGUAGGUGGCGUGUUAAGUGUGAUGUUAAAUCGUGGGGCUCAACCCUGUCGGUGCAUCACAUACUGGCAUGCUAGAGGACAGCAGAGGCAAGUGGAAUUUGUAGUGUAGCAGUGAAAUGCGUAGAUAUUACAAGGAACACCAAUGGCGAAGGCAGCUUGCUGGGCUACUCCUGACACUGAGGUACGAAAGCGUGGGGAGCGAACAGG
rnacentral:rRNA from 1 species